GGAUACUAAUAAAUCUAGAAGCUAUAAAAACGUGAGUUGUCUAUUUAAAACGGAAUACAUUUCCCCUUUCCCGCACAAAAAGAUCACACUCAUUCUCUUCCAGUGUGUGUACAGUACAGUAGUGAGCAGAACCGAGCCCUAAUCUGUACGAAUAAUUCCAAAAUUCUUUACGAUGUCGUCCAUCGCAGCACCGCCGCCGACGGCAGUCUCCGGCGGCGGUACAAGCGAGGACCGCCGGCAAAUCAACGGAGAGAAUUCGGACGGCGGUACAACUAUCGCGAUGCAGAGAAAGCGAGCUCGAAGAGUGAGUUUUGCUGAGAUGACAUCUGUACACUUCUUCGACCGUGAUGAAGAGUACGAAACACCUCCUGACCAGAGCAAAGCUGAAAUUAACAGUGAGCGUGAAGAGAUGGUGAACUUAGGUUUUGAUGAUCAAUUGGUAGAUGAGGAGUUUAAAGAGGAAGAAGAAGGAAAUGAUGAGGAUGAGGAUGGUGAGAUGGCGGUUUCUAGGUCGUUUUUAAGACCGAUGGAAUCGCCUUCUCCUGGAAGUAAUUUUGGUUCUGCUACUUCAAAUGAUGAAGAUAAUUUUUUCGGCCCAGUAUCUCCCAAUUUUAUAAGGCCAGGCCGGCUAUCAGAUUCAGCAGCGUCAGACGAAAAUCAUGAUAUUACUAUGGAUUCAACAGCUUUCUCCAUGCACUUCCGUAGAUUUGUUAGAUCAGAUUCAGGGAUAGACUUGAAGACCCCAACAGAAGUAUCAUUCGAAGAGAAAACACCAACACAGACCAGUCAGCGUAGUUCGAUGGAACUGACAAUGGCCAAGGAGCCAAUUUCUCAAUCUUCUAUGCCCGUUGCCAAUUUUAGUGGCAUUAGUGAUUCGAGUGACAUGAGUCUGAUUGGAGAAAACUCGCGAAGAUAUGAUUACGGGAGACUCUCUCCGGAUUUAGAAGCUCUUUUAGCAGAAGGCCAAGAGAGAUCUCAUGCAGUUUCUGUUUCAGGAGACACCAGUGUUUCAAAGUCACCAACAAGCAAGAAAAUGGAGGUUAGAAGUACAGUGACAGAUUUAGGUGGAAAUGGAGAACAAGAAGCAAAUGCAGUUGUUAGUCGUAAUAUGCAACUUGGACCUUUGUGCCAGGAAAUCGACGCAGAUGAUGGUUAUAAGUUUCCUUCUCAUGUUGUUGAUGGUGAUUCUGUGCUUAGAUCCACUGUUCCAGCUCCGGAUAAUUAUGUUGAUAGAGUAAAUCAGUCGCCGAAGCAGUUAAGUAAUGAUUUUGGUGAGAAUAAUAAGUCUGUCAAGGAUGAUUCUGUGGUAGGAAAUAGUGAAACCCUAUGUAGUAACAAUGGUGAGCUUGGUGAAUUUUGUUGGUCCCCAUGUGGCGCGGAAUCUCCAUUGGUGGAUUUAGUGUCCUCCUCACCAGCUACGCAAAGACUAAUAAUUCUGCGUAGUCCUUCACCAGUCAAACAGAAUUCAAUCACAAUGUCUUUCCUGGAAGAUCCCAUUUCCUUUUUGAGCAAUGAAAAGAGAGGAACUUGGACAGGUUCAGCAUCCCUCCAGAGGAGCAUUUCCAAACUUGAGAGACUUAAGGCUUCUGCACUCUCUUCUUCUCGUGGUGACAGAAUCCACAAUAUGGGCAUCAGAGCUUUAGAAUUUCCAAAAACACCACCUUUGGAUUCUAUAUUGAAGAAAAGGAGCCUAGAUGUGGGAGUCAAAUGUCUGGAUGCCUCUAGGACUUGUACAGAGGAGCAAUUUUCAGGUACUUUUAUGGAGGGAGAAAGAAAAAUCUUCACAUCGGGUGGCAGUAAAAGUGAGGCUCUUUCAAGUAGUGAUGAUGUAAUUCAAUGUGAACAAUCUCAUGGUCCUGAAAAGCAGGGGAAAUCUCUCAAUCAGCUUGAUGCUUGUAUUCUCCCCAUGGAUCAACUGGUCAAGCUUACAGACCCCUCAUCUUCGUCAAGGUUUUCUUGGUCAGGGAAGAAAAGUGACACUUUUACACCCGAUGACCUCAGGCACAAGAUAUCACUGAUUUCUAGAACUGAUUCCCCAUUGGUUGAUAAUUUAGGGCAGGAGAAAGUGACUGCUAUUGCUCAAAAGUUGUUUUCUUCUCCAAAAAAGUCUUUGCAGUCAAAGUCAUCAACAUGGACUGAACAUCAGUCUAGCCCCUUUAAAGAAUCAAAGUUGCAUGAUGAACAUGCGAAAAGCUUUGGCCCUGUAAAAAAUGCAUCUUCAAUAGGUAAUGUGACAGAUGGACCUUCUUCGACUGGAACGGCUGGCAACUGGCAUUCUUCCUCCACACUAACUGAAGAACUUUCACCAGUUGUUGAAGGCAGCAACGUGUUAAGGCAACCAGACGGGACUGAGAGCACAGAAGCUAAGCUCCUUGAUCAAAUGAAUGAACUGAGAAGCAAUGAAGACUCAAGAAUCUCCACGGAUGGGAGCUCUCAUCUAUCUUCAGCAAUGCCAGAUGGGAAUAUUCAGAGUGAAGCCGGCAUCCCUAGAAUUGAAAUUGAUCCUCAAGAGCAAUCUCCUACAUUCAAUCAAUCAGCUGGAAGACCUAAAAACUCUUCUGCCCAUAAAAGAAGCAGAGAAGAGUUGACAUUUGGAGAUAUGGAACACACAGAUGAAAUUAUCACGUCUCAAAGGAGCCCAAAACUCCAGAGAGGUGUUGGUAAUAAUCCAGGAACCUUGGGACAUCCUGAUGAUAUUGGACAAGAAAUGGUCGGAGCUCAUCCUGAACUCAGACAGUGGAAAGAUAUUAUUUCCAAAUUUAUGAUCGAUGCAGAUGAGUGGAUAUCGUUGCCAAAAGAAAGGCUUACUAUGCCAGCGAUUGAUUUGGUGGAAGACAUUGUCAGCCGGAUGCAGAAGGCAAAAACUUACGAGAUUUUGCACAGUCAAAUUCUCACUCAGAAAACGUCAGUUUCCAAUUUUCAGGAGAAAAGAGCUGUUGAAGCAAUAAUGUUGUUAUGUCAGCUUCUACAUGAGAAAGCAAAGUUUCACUUGAGGCAUGUGAAGAAGGAGAAACUGCUGGAAAAGUGUCAACUGUUGAAUUCUGGAAUUCAGAAGUCUCAAAUGUCAAACAUCAAUCAUUUGCUUCAUAAUUCUGUAACUGUCUCAAGAGGCACACUGGGUGAUGCAAUUUCUAGUGAGAGCUCAUCAGCCUGUGAAAAAGCUGUACAGGAGGUGCCUAAUAAUAAAGUAGCCACUAUCAAGGAGGCUUUGGAAGUUUCAGAAAGAAAAGUUGUAAAUUUGACUAGAUCUUUGCAUUCAUCCUUGAAACUUAAGGGAGAACUGAAUCAGCCGAUACCAUCAUUUCCGUAAAAGAACAUUUAAUGAGGAGAUCGUGUUGUAGAUUCCUACGUCAAGAUAUGCAGAUGUGUGUCAUUCAGAAUGUGAGGAAAAGGAAUGGCCAUUACGAUGUCAUCCUCAACUAUCUCGGUUUGCUGGUUCAAAGUUUGAAGGUGACUGUUGGUCCAGACUCCAGCAUCAGCAUCUCUAACAAUUUAAAUGAU